GUUUAGUGAAGGGGUGUCCCCAGGAUCAUUUCAGACAUCACUGGCCAAUGAUGGUAGCCAUGAGCCCAAUUGUAAUGCAGUAACGGUAGCAACAUCUUCUAGCAUGAAAACCGCAAUCGUAAAUGCGUUAGUCUCGACUGUAAGCGGCUGUGAUCGGACGUAAUCGUGACUUGAGCAAUGCGAGAAAACGCUGGCCGGAGCGAUAAGGGCGAGGUUAGGGUGGAGGACUAGUCGCAGGGACGAGUGUCGAUUGGUCGAUGCCGGGCUCCCGGGAGACAUCGGCCGUUUGGGCGACCUCGAUCGAUAAAGUUCAUCCGGCGCGUGGUGGCGCACGCGUGCAGAGCCCAGCGCCCAGUGGUCGAGCAUUGGUGUGUGCAGAGAUGGCUCUGUUGCGGUUGGUAUCAGACUCGCACACGUACUGCACCCUCUACAACCCCCGCUGGGCCGAGCUGCCCCAAGACCCCACGAAGGCCACACCGCACCAGCUGGCUGACGGCGCUCCGACGCCACUGUGCCUCCCCGGUGACGUGCCGCCCGGCGGCUUCGCCGGUGCCGUGGCGUUGGCGACGCGCGGGAACUGCUCAUUCUAUCACAAGGCGCGGUUGGCAGCCGUGCACGGCGCAUCCGCGCUACUGGUGCUGAGCCACAGGCCGCUGGUAUCCCCCGGCGGUAACGAGACGGAGUACGAGGAGGUGGCGAUCCCCGUGGCGCUCAUGGGAGAGGAAGAUGCUCGUCACAUGCUCCAGGCUCGGCGUGACGGCGAGCAGCAGGUGCUCCUGUUCGCCCCGCGCGAGUCCCGCCUCGACUACAACAUGAUGCUGAUCUACGUGAUGGCGGUGGGGACCGUGGCCGGCGCCAGCUACUGGGCCGGAGUCUCCGAGAUGAAGACCAGCAGCAGCAGUAGCGCCGCGCCAACAAGCGGCGUCGGCGGCAUAGGAGGAGCCGCCCAGGCCGGCGAGGACAUCUCACCCAAGAUGGUGGCUUUGUUCGUGGCGACCUCCACCAUCAUGCUCACCAUGCUCUACUUCUUCUACGACUAUCUGGUCUACGUGAUCAUCGCUGUGUUCUGCCUCGCCUCCUCGCUGGGCCUCUACAGCUGCCUCGCUCCUCUCGUCUCCCGCUCUCCGUGCGGCAGUUACAGGGUUCCCCGUGCCCUUACCCCAUGCAUGCAGGAGCCGCCCCCGGUGCGACUGGCGGUCCUUGCGCUGUUCUGUGUGGCCACGGCCGUCGUGUGGGUCGUCUUCCGCAACAAGGACAGCUGGGCGUGGGUGCUCCAGGACAUGCUGGGCAUCGCGUUCUGCACCUACAUGCUGCGGGUGCUGCGCAUGCCCAGCUUCAAGGCGUGCACCCUGCUGUUGGUCAUGCUGUUUGUGUACGACAUCUUCUUUGUGUUCAUCACGCCGUACAUCAUGCCGAAUGGACAAAGUAUCAUGGUGGAGGUUGCUUCUGGCCCAUCUGAUUCGUCAUCAAAGGAAAAGCUGCCCAUGGUGCUGAAGGUGCCACGCUUGGCACCCUCGGAGCUGUCCGUCUGCUCGCAGCCGUUCUCGCUGCUCGGCUUCGGGGACAUCCUGGUGCCAGGUGUGCUGGUCGUGUACUGCCACCGGUUUGACGUACACACCAACUCGUCGCACAUCUACUUUGUGACAAGCACCAUAGGAACCGCAGAUGAGCAGGAAGGCAGCCACGCGAUAAGCCGGUGCCACCAAUUGCCCAAGCUCCGCAGGCCUCCAUGUCAUAAGCAUACGGCUUGGGGCUGCUGGUGACAUUCGUGGCACUGGUGCUGACACGGAUGGGGCAACCGGCGCUGCUCUACCUGGUGCCGUGCAUGGUGCUCACCUGCACCGCCGUGGCCGCUGGGAAGAGGCAGCUGCCGGCGUUCUGGAGGGGAAGCAUCGUGCGUAAAGAGUCGCUCGACCUCACCGACGGCGAGGAUACGAGCCGCCUCGGUGCGGCCCGGGACGAUGUGGAAGGAGCGGCUGUGCCCAUCCGCAACCCGGAGGCCCCCGCGGCCUCUGCCAACCCGGAGCCGUGAUGGCGGGCAGCCGGCACGCCACUCCAAUGAAUUCCAUGGGUGCGCGUGGGGAGUGGUAGUGCAGCAAUUGACGCGCUGCGAACUCUGUGAACGAGUUCGAUUCCCACUUGUGGCCAACAUCAACGAUAAAUAUCUGAACCGGUUUUGGGCCUCCCCUAGGUCGACUCGACUCGGCCUUUGUUGAGUAUCUGAUGCAGUGUAUAAACAUCACCAGUUGGGGGGAAAGACAAAAGAAAACAGCUGGGCGUGGUGCUGGCCAACCACCCCCUAGUGUGUCGUUGGCCUUUCGUAGGUGCUCAACAGCACUUGCCCCAAGUCUGUUAAGGAGCCGUGAGGAAUCUUCGUUGUAUGUGGACGGUCGCCGUUGGGAAUUUGGUGAGCGGCGCUUGCGAGGCGGAAGAGCCGCUGUAGCACCACCCGCUGUAGCACCACCCGCUGUGGAGCUUGGGAGCGGACAACCGUGGUGUGGAUGAGUGGAUGUCUGAGCAGUAGCAUGAGCAGCAGCAUUCUCUCCGUGUAAAUUAUCGUGUAUUGUAUUGCGAUGGAUGCGUUGUGAAUAGAGUAGAGCACAGAUAUGA